CUUGGAAGCUAAGAAAAUAUCUAAGAAAAAAAAGAUCUUAAAAACUGAGAGAGCAGAGCAACUGCAGAGAUAAAGUGCACCUCACCUGAUGGAGUCAAUGUGAUGUUUUGGACACAAAUCUAAUGCCUAUUGUUAAACCAGGAAAUCGGAGGGAAGUUGCACCUCAGAACAAGAUAAAGAUUUGAUAAUCUAAGCUCCACUGUGACACAUUAGGAGGAGAGGAAGGGGCUGUUUGUUAAACCAGCACUGUUGGAGAGCAAAGCUCUUGGAAGACAGUGAGGAGCAGCAGCACAAGACUACAAAAACUUGGGGUUAGCAAUGCUGAAGUAUGUUGUAAGUACAGUGGAACUCAGACACCCUUGCUGUUAACUCCCAAUAAUGUUAAGCCUUGAAAAACACCAGAGUUGAUAAAUUGUGCACAGCAGAUUAAUUAGAGACUUGGCUAACUUGAAAUGACACAUAUCUCAGGGAGAAGUAUGUACUCUGGGGCAGGGCAGGAAACACUGGAUGCAUUUAUUUCUUAAGAAAUGUUCCCAUUUCAUGUUUAGGAAACAUUUUCCCUUGGUAUUUGGGUGAGUUACAUAGUAGUGUCUUCAGUGGAUUCUUGGAUUGCCAUGUAUGACAGCUUUCCCUGUUGAUUUUUAUUGAUUUAUGGGCCAGACUCUUGGCCAU